CCCUUAGAUGUCCUGGGCCGCACGCGCGUUACACUGAUGCAUUCAACGAGCUUAUAACCUCGGCCGAGAGGCCUGGGCAAUCUUGUUAACGUGCAUCGUGAUAGGGAUAGAUUAUUGAAAUUAUUAAUCUUGAACGAGGAAUUCCUAGUAGACGCAGAUCAUCAAUCUGCAUUGAUUACGUCCCUGCCCUUUGUACACACCGCCCGUCGCACCUACCGAUUGGAUGGUCCGGUGAAGCCUCGGGAUUGUGGUUCUUGCCGCUUUAUUGUGGCGUGACCGCGAGAACUUGUCUAAACCUUAUCAUCUAGAGGAAGGUGAAGUCGUAACA
rnacentral:rRNA from 1 species